CCGCCCCCCUCCCCGGGGGGUGGCCAGCGCCCGCCAGAGGACCAUCAAACUCCAGUCAGUAAACGAUGCAGUCUGAAAAACAUUUAAUAAACUAAAACUUUCAACAACGGAUCUCUUGGUUCUGGCAUCGAUGAAGAACGCAGCGAAAUGCGAUAAGUAAUGUGAAUUGCAGAAUUCAGUGAAUCAUCGAAUCUUUGAACGCACAUUGCGCCCUUUGGUAUUCCGAAGGGCAUGCCUGUUCGAGCGUCAUUACAACCCUCAAGCUCUGCUUGGUAUUGGGCACCGUCCUUUGCGGGCGCGCCUCAAAGACCUCGGCGGUGGCGUCUUGCCUCAAGCGUAGUAGAACAUACAUCUCGCUUCGGAGCGCAGGGCGUCGCCCGCCGGACGAACCUUCUGAACUUUUCUCAAGGUUGACCUCGG
rnacentral:rRNA from 1 species